rnacentral:rRNA from 1 species
GGAUUAGAUACCCUGGUAGUCCACGCCCUAAACGAUGUGUGCUAGGUGUCGGGGGACUUGUCCCUUGGUGCCGGAGCUAACGUGUUAAGCACACCGCCUGGGGAGUACGGCCGCAAGGUUAAAACUCAAAGAAAUUGACGGGGGCCCGCACAAGCGGUGGAGCAUGUGGUUUAAUUCGACGCAACGCGCAGAACCUUACCAGCCCUUGACAUGCUAGGCGCGGUUCCGAGAGAUCGGUUCUUUCCUUCGGGAGUCUAGUACAGGUGCUGCAUGGCUGUCGUCAGCUCGUGCCG